GGACUGUCUGUUAGCAACUUCAAUUGAUCACGCUAGUUUACUGUCAGCACUUUUGAGAAAGGUACAAGGCUUCUCUCCGGCAUACUCGCAGCGGUCAUUUCGUCUACACACCAGAGGGGAGCGCAAGAGUGGGUCGAUAGCCAGAAUAAAAAAACGCUUUGAACUUCAGACAUAUAAAGCAACUUAACUGAUACCAUAUCAAAUCGCACAGCACGCAUGCUAUCCGUUUGCUGUGUGCAGUGUACCCAAUAGUCAGGUGCCUUUCAUUACAUUUCUGUUCUCUGCAGCGCUGUGGACACCACAGAAAUGUCCCAGUUAGCAAAAGCUUCCGUAUCAGAUAUACACCCAUGUGAUACGAAAACUGCUCCCUUCGAAGUUUCAUUCUUGGAACGGAAAGACGACAACACCUCUGCUCUGCCUUCUAUCCAUGACAGAGAGGCCAUAGGUUUUAUUGGUCUGCCAAAAGAUUAUGGGGAUAACCCGCAGCAGAAAUGCGUGAGUGAGCUUUCAGCCUUAAACACCGAAUUAGCACACACGGCGAGCACUGGUGUAAUGGCACCCAAUAGUGUUUGGCGUUGCGCUGUGUGCCACAAGGUGAAGGACCUGAAGGGCCCCCACUUAGACGGCAAGGCGAGUGUGCGCUCGGACUGCUGGCCGUGCGGCAAGAAAACAACCUUUGUACAAGAGGACAGUGGCGAUGGUUCACUGGUAGGCGCCGACCGUCGAGCCAGCCGUCUCGCGGAAGCUGCAGGCGGCGAGGGAGCGCCGGUUUUACGGGAGCUGCGCUCUACUGUAUUCAAAACUCCCGUUGUACCGUCCGAGUCGGAGGAGCAGCGCUACAUGCUGCCAGUUACGAGGGGUGGCGGAGCACAAGGAUCCGUAGAAGAUACAAGCGUUGUGGUGCUGUCGGGAAAUGCCCUUUGGCGUUGCGCUGUGUGCCACAAGGUGAAGGACCUGAAGGGCCCCACUUAGACGGCAAGGCGAGUGUGCGCUCGGACUGCUGGCCGUGCGGCAAGAAAACAACCUUUCUCCGCGAUGCCAGCGCUAUGUCUCGGCAUGGUGCCGUUACGACACCAACUGCCUCCCAACCGCAGGCGCCUAACGGCGCUGAUGCAGCUGCUCAUGCACCUGACAGCCCAAGUGCCAGCGUGUUUGCAGCGUCUGCCGCCACAUCAUCGUCGCAAGUGCUUGUUUCUUCUCCCGGUGCCACUAACAUGCCAGCGGGUACUGCGCCGUUCAAGAGCGCCUUUGGUGCCGUGUCUGCACCGGAUGCGGCCAAGCCUGCUGCAGCGCCGUCCAAGAGCGCCUUUGGUGCCGUGUCUGCACCGGAUGCGGCCAAGCCUGCUGCAGCGCCGUCCAAGAGCGCCUUUGGUGGCGUUGGGGAGUGGUCAGGGCCGAUGCCACCUAUCGGCUCAGCGGUGAAGAGCAGUUGCGGAUCGAUUAGUGAUGAAGUUUCGGCCAUGUGCUCAUUGAACUCUUCUUCGGAAAAGCUGAUGUCAGGCGUUACCCGGCAGUCGCCAAAGGCUGUGACCGCGCCUACUGGAGCUGCAAGGGCUGAGGCGGCAGGCUUGGCGGAAAGUAGCUGCGUUUUGCCGGAGAGGGUGUGGCGCUGUGUUGUGUGCCACAAGGUGAAGGACCUGAAGGGCCCCCACUUAGACGGCAAGGCGAGUGUGCGCUCGGACUGCUGGCCGUGCGGCAAGAAAACAACCUUUGUACAAGAGGACAGUGGCGAUGGUUCACUGGUAGGCGCCGACCGUCGAGCCAGCCGUCUCGCGGAAGCUGCAGGCGGCGAGGGAGCGCCGGUUUUACGGGAGCUGCGCUCUACUGUAUUCAAAACUCCCGUUGUACCGUCCGAGUCGGAGGAGCAGCGCUACAUGCUGCCAGUUACGAGGGGUGGCGGAGCACAAGGAUCCGUAGAAGAUACAAGCGUUGUGGUGCUGUCGGGAAAUGCCCUUUGGCGUUGCGCUGUGUGCCACAAGGUGAAGGACCUGAAGGGCCCCCACUUAGACGGCAAGGCGAGUGUGCGCUCGGACUGCUGGCCGUGCGGCAAGAAAACAACCUUUCUCCGCGAUGCCAGCGCUAUGUCUCGGCAUGGUGCCGUUACGACACCAACUGCCUCCCAACCGCAGGCGCCUAACGGCGCUGAUGCAGCUGCUCAUGCACCUGACAGCCCAAGUGCCAGCGUGUUUGCAGCGUCUGCCGCCACAUCAUCGUCGCAAGUGCUUGUUUCUUCUCCCGGUGCCACUAACAUGCCAGCGGGUACUGCGCCGUCCAAGAGCGCCUUUGGUGCCGUGUCUGCACCGGAUGCGGCCAAGCCUGCUGCUGCGCCGUUCAAGAGCGCCUUUGGUGGCAUAUCUGCACCGGAUGUGGCCAAGCCUGCUGCUGCGCCGUUCAAGAGCGCCUUUGGUGCCGUGUCUGCACCGGAUGCGGCCAAGCCUGCUGCUGCGCCGUCCAAGAGCGCCUUUGGUGCCGUGUCUGCACCGGAUGCGGCCAAGCCUGCUGCUGCGCCGUCCAAGAGCGCCUUUGGUGGCGUUGGGGAGUGGUCAGGGCCGAUGCCACCUAUCGGCUCAGCGGUGAAGAGCAGUUGCGGAUCGAUUAGUGAUGAAGUUUCGGCCAUGUGCUCAUUGAACUCUUCUUCGGAAAAGCUGAUGUCAGGCGUUACCCGGCAGUCGCCAAAGGCUGUGACCGCGCCUACUGGAGCUGCAAGGGCUGAGGCGGCAGGCUUGGCGGAAAGUAGCUGCGUUUUGCCGGAGAGGGUGUGGCGCUGUGUUGUGUGCCACAAGGUGAAGGACCUGAAGGGCCCCCACUUAGACGGCAAGGCGAGUGUGCGCUCGGACUGCUGGCCGUGCGGCAAGAAAACAACCUUUGUACAAGAGGACAGUGGCGAUGGUUCACUGGUAGGCGCCGACCGUCGAGCCAGCCGUCUCGCGGAAGCUGCAGGCGGCGAGGGAGCGCCGGUUUUACGGGAGCUGCGCUCUACUGUAUUCAAAACUCCCGUUGUACCGUCCGAGUCGGAGGAGCAGCGCUACAUGCUGCCAGUCACGAGGGGUGGCGGAGCACAAGGAUCCGUAGAAGAUACAAGCGUUGUGGUGCUGUCGGGAAAUGCCCUUUGGCGUUGCGCUGUGUGCCACAAGGUGAAGGACCUGAAGGGCCCCCACUUAGACGGCAAGGCGAGUGUGCGCUCGGACUGCUGGCCGUGCGGCAAGAAAACAACCUUUCUCCGCGAUGCCAGCGCUAUGUCUCGGCAUGGUGCCGUUACGACACCAACUGCCUCCCAACCGCAGGCGCCUAACGGCGCUGAUGCAGCUGCUCAUGCACCUGACAGCCCAAGUGCCAGCGUGUUUGCAGCGUCUGCCGCCACAUCAUCGUCGCAAGUGCUUGUUUCUUCUCCCGGUGCCACUAACAUGCCAGCGGGUACUGCGCCGUCCAAGAGCGCCUUUGGUGCCGUGUCUGCACCGGAUGCGGCCAAGCCUGCUGCUGCGCCGUUCAAGAGCGCCUUUGGUGGCAUAUCUGCACCGGAUGUGGCCAAGCCUGCUGCUGCGCCGUUCAAGAGCGCCUUUGGUGCCGUGUCUGCACCGGAUGCGGCCAAGCCUGCUGCUGCGCCGUUCAAGAGCGCCUUUGGUGGCAUAUCUGCACCGGAUGCGGCCAAGCCUGCUGCUGCGCCGUUCAAGAGCGCCUUUGGUGACAUAUCUGCACCGGAUGUGGCCAAGCCUGCUGCUGCGCCGUUCAAGAGCGCCUUUGGUGCCGUGUCUGCACCGGAUGCGGCCAAGCCUGCUGCUGCGCCGUCCAAGAGCGCCUUUGGUGCCGUGUCUGCACCGGAUGCGGCCAAGCCUGCUGCUGCGCCGUUCAAGAGCGCCUUUGGUGCCGUGUCUGCACCGGAUGCGGCCAAGCCUGCUGCUGCGCCGUCCAAGAGCGCCUUUGGUGCCGUGUCUGCACCGGAUGCGGCCAAGCCUGCUGCUGCGCCGUUCAAGAGCGCCUUUGGUGCCGUGUCUGCACCGGAUGCGGCCAAGCCUGCUGCUGCGCCGUCCAAGAGCGCCUUUGGUGCCGUGUCUGCACCGGAUGCGGCCAAGCCUGCUGCUGCGCCGUUCAAGAGCGCCUUUGGUGACAUAUCUGCACCGGAUGUGGCCAAGCCUGCUGCUGCGCCGUUCAAGAGCGCCUUUGGUGCCGUGUCUGCACCGGAUGCGGCCAAGCCUGCUGCUGCGCCGUUCAAGAGCGCCUUUGGUGCCGUGUCUGCACCGGAUGCGGCCAAGCCUGCUGCUGCGCCGUUCAAGAGCGCCUUUGGUGCCGUGUCUGCACCGGAUGCGGCCAAGCCUGCUGCUGCGCCGUCCAAGAGCGCCUUUGGUGCCGUGUCUGCACCGGAUGCGGCCAAGCCUGCUGCUGCGCCGUUCAAGAGCGCCUUUGGUGCCGUGUCUGCACCGGAUGCGGCCAAGCCUGCUGCUGCGCCGUUCAAGAGCGCCUUUGGUGCCGUGUCUGCACCGGAUGCGGCCAAGCCUGCUGCUGCGCCGUCCAAGAGCGCCUUUGGUGCCGUGUCUGCACCGGAUGCGGCCAAGCCUGCUGCUGCGCCGUCCAAGAGCGCCUUUGGUGGCGUUGGGGAGUGGUCAGGGCCGAUGCCACCUAUCGGCUCAGCGGUGAAGAGCAGUUGCGGAUCGAUUAGUGAUGAAGUUUCGGCCAUGUGCUCAUUGAACUCUUCUUCGGAAAAGCUGAUGUCAGGCGUUACCCGGCAGUCGCCAAAGGCUGUGACCGCGCCUACUGGAGCUGCAAGGGCUGAGGCGGCAGGCUUGGCGGAAAGUAGCUGCGUUUUGCCGGAGAGGGUGUGGCGCUGUGUUGUGUGCCACAAGGUGAAGGACCUGAAGGGCCCCCACUUAGACGGCAAGGCGAGUGUGCGCUCGGACUGCUGGCCGUGCGGCAAGAAAACAACCUUUGUACAAGAGGACAGUGGCGAUGGUUCACUGGUAGGCGCCGACCGUCGAGCCAGCCGUCUCGCGGAAGCUGCAGGCGGCGAGGGAGCGCCGGUUUUACGGGAGCUGCGCUCUACUGUAUUCAAAACUCCCGUUGUACCGUCCGAGUCGGAGGAGCAGCGCUACAUGCUGCCAGUUACGAGGGGUGGCGGAGCACAAGGAUCCGUAGAAGAUACAAGCGUUGUGGUGCUGUCGGGAAAUGCCCUUUGGCGUUGCGCUGUGUGCCACAAGGUGAAGGACCUGAAGGGCCCCCACUUAGACGGCAAGGCGAGUGUGCGCUCGGACUGCUGGCCGUGCGGCAAGAAAACAACCUUUCUCCGCGAUGCCAGCGCUAUGUCUCGGCAUGGUGCCGUUACGACACCAACUGCCUCCCAACCGCAGGCGCCUAACGGCGCUGAUGCAGCUGCUCAUGCACCUGACAGCCCAAGUGCCAGCGUGUUUGCAGCGUCUGCCGCCACAUCAUCGUCGCAAGUGCUUGUUUCUUCUCCCGGUGCCACUAACAUGCCAGCGGGUACUGCGCCGUCCAAGAGCGCCUUUGGUGCCGUGUCUGCACCGGAUGCGGCCAAGCCUGCUGCAGCGCCGUUCAAGAGCGCCUUUGGUGCCGUGUCUGCACCGGAUGCGGCCAAGCCUGCUGCAGCGCCGUCCAAGAGCGCCUUUGGUGACAUAUCUGCACCGGAUGUGGCCAAGCCUGCUGCUGCGCCGUUCAAGAGCGCCUUUGGUGCCGUGUCUGCACCGGAUGCGGCCAAGCCUGCUGCUGCGCCGUUCAAGAGCGCCUUUGGUGCCGUGUCUGCACCGGAUGCGGCCAAGCCUGCUGCAGCGCCGUCCAAGAGCGCCUUUGGUGACAUAUCUGCACCGGAUGUGGCCAAGCCUGCUGCUGCGCCGUUCAAGAGCGCCUUUGGUGCCGUGUCUGCACCGGAUGCGGCCAAGCCUGCUGCUGCGCCGUUCAAGAGCGCCUUUGGUGGCAUAUCUGCACCGGAUGCGGCCAAGCCUGCUGCUGCGCCGUCCAAGAGCGCCUUUGGUGCCGUGUCUGCACCGGAUGCGGCCAAGCCUGCUGCUGCGCCGUCCAAGAGCGCCUUUGGUGCCGUGUCUGCACCGGAUGCGGCCAAGCCUGCUGCUGCGCCGUCCAAGAGCGCCUUUGGUGCCGUGUCUGCACCGGAUGCGGCCAAGCCUGCUGCUGCGCCGUUCAAGAGCGCCUUUGGUGGCAUAUCUGCACCGGAUGCGGCCAAGCCUGCUGCUGCGCCGUCCAAGAGCGCCUUUGGUGCCGUGUCUGCACCGGAUGCGGCCAAGCCUGCUGCUGCGCCGUUCAAGAGCGCCUUUGGUGCCGUGUCUGCACCGGAUGCGGCCAAGCCUGCUGCUGCGCCGUCCAAGAGCGCCUUUGGUGCCGUGUCUGCACCGGAUGCGGCCAAGCCUGCUGCUGCGCCGUUCAAGAGCGCCUUUGGUGCCGUGUCUGCACCGGAUGCGGCCAAGCCUGCUGCUGCACAGUUGAGAGUUGUAUAUGAUGAUACUUAUUAUGUGAGCGAUUUUGGUGUUUCCAAGGAUGGUGAGGAGUUUUUACAGUUGAAUGAGGACUCAAAUCGGGGGAAAGACGCGCUGUUCGUCGAAGGACGACAGCUUAGUUUCUCAGAUGCAAGUAGCGGGGCCGCUGCGAAUGUUUGUGCUGCUGGACCGAGUGCCACCUCGUCUUGGGAUAUGGCUUUUUCGAAUGCGCUGGUGCCAUCUGCGGCCACAGGCUGUUGCUCAUCAGCUGUAGUGGAGAAACUGAUUAAUAAAGCCUUGAAAGAGCAGCGCGUGGAGAUGAAGGAAGAGUUGGAGUUUUUCCGCAAGGAUUUAUUGUUCGAAGUUCGUCAGGCGAUCUCACAAGGACAUGUACAUGCUGUGGCGAAGGACCGGGCGUGUUUCGAGGAGCCACCUGCACAGAUGACGGAGAGCCUCAUUCGCCGACAUUUAUCGAAGGCGUUUCGUAAAUCGUGAUUUUUUUGCUAAUGUUUUUAACGCAUAUCUUUCAUUUGGGGGAUUCUCUGUUGUUUAGUUUGACAACAUUAGCGACGGAAGGUCGGGUGGCAGUUUGCAAAGUGGCUGCGCAUGCCUUAGUGAAAAGGUGCCCUAGCAUUCUCACAUGCAUCGCAGCAACGAGAGUACGUCCCUCAAUUCGCCUUCUGCUUGGUGCACCUGAGGAUGGCGUGGAUGUAUGGAAUGUCUUCACUGUUCUUUGCUCUCUCUUCCUUGAUUGCUAGCCUCCUGAUGAGAAGGAAUACGCCAGCAUGGUAUCAGGGUACGGUGACUACUCUGUGAAGAGGCGACGCAGCUCCCACCUAUCCAAUGCCGAUGCCGAGCAAGCCUCUGGUGGUGACAAGGCUAGGCACCUACGACUUGGGGGGAGGUCAGCGCGAUGUAUCGCCACUGAUGUCGGCGGUGAGGUUCUGGAUGGCGUUGCAUUGUGGGGCGACCUGCGACUGUG
rnacentral:misc_RNA from 1 species